GCGUCAAACAAACAUAUUAGCUCAUCCACACCGCACUGUAAUAAUCCAUGUAUGUUUACUGUAUACUUACUGAAAUGCAUAAUGUACUGUACUUUUCUGUCAAUAAACAGUGGAUAAACUGAGUAUGUGU